UCCUUCAUAAAUGCAGACAACAUAAGAUUGACAACUCAUUUAUUUUGUUUAAAAGAAUAGUUGGUAGACUCAUCCUUGGAGUUCCAUGAAGAAACAAUAUCAAUUUCUUAUGUAUCCUCCAUUUUACAAGGUCAUAUCAUAAUAAUCAACAUAACUAUGCAUAAGAAUAACACAAAAACAUCUUUAAACAAACAUGUUAUCCAUCUAAUUGACUCAUCUAAUUUAUCCUUGAAAGUAUAAUAUCUUGACAAUUACAUCAAA
rnacentral:lncRNA from 1 species